UCACUUACAAUGCCCCGUCGCGUUUUAAGUCGUCUGCAAAGGAUUCAGCCCUCCGCCCGUUAGGAAGGGAGCUUCGAGCCGGCCGGAUACGGCGCGUCGACCGACCAGGCUGAGCCAAUGGCACGGGCCCCUGGGGCGCGAACGCCCUAAUGAGGGUCGGGGCGAGCGGCGGGCACAGGCGCCGGUUGCUAGCUUGGAUUCUGACUUAGAGGCGU
rnacentral:lncRNA from 1 species